rnacentral:rRNA from 1 species
AUUGAACGCUGGCGGCAGGCCUAACACAUGCAAGUCGAGCGAGCGGCGGACGGGUGAGUAAUGUCUGGGAAACUGCCUGCUGGCGGGGGAUAACUACUGGAAACGGUAGCUAAUACCGCAUACCCUCAGAUGUGCGCAGAUGGGAUGAGCUAGUAGGGGGGGUAACGGCUCACCUAGGCGACGAUCCCUAGCUGGUCUGAGAGGAUGACCAGCCACACUGGAACUGAGACACGGUCCAGACUCCGACGGGAGGAAGCAGUGGGGAAUAGUGGACAAUGGGCGCAAGCCUGAUGCAGCCAUGCCGCGUGUGUGAAGAAGGCCUGCGGGGUGUAAAGCACUUUCAGCGGGGAGGCGUUACCCGCAGAAGAAGCACCGGCUAACUCCGUGCCAGCAGCCGCGGUAAUUC